UACAGAGGUCCCAAGCGUUGUUCGGAUUCACUGGGCGUAAAGGGUGCGUAGGUGGCGGUCUAAGUCGGGUGUGAAAUCUCCGGGCUCAACCCGGAGGGUGCGCUCGAAACUGGAUUGCUUGAGGAUGGGAGGGGAGACUGGAAUUCUCGGUGUAGCAGUGAAAUGCGUAGAUAUCGAGAGGAACACCGGUGGCGAAGGCGAGUCUCUGGACCAUUCCUGACACUGAGGCACGAAAGCCGGGGGAGCAAACAGG
rnacentral:rRNA from 1 species